UCUUUCUUCAGCUGAGUGGUUAUAGCGAUAGACUAGAACUAAACAUCUAUACAUCUAUUUCCUUUGGGAGCGUAGGUUCAAAUCCUGCAGACGUUU